CCCGGGCCCCAGGGCCGCCCCCGCUGCCCUCCGGCCCCAGGGCGUGCACAGCUGGAGGCUGAUCGUGAUCCUCCGCGGCCCCGUCUCAAACACGCACAAACGCACACGGACACAACCUGAUGAGCAAGCCCGUGCGGACACACCCCGAGGGGGCAAGAAAGGCUGCCACUCGCGCACCAGCAACUUUAACCUGGGAGACUGGGUCACAUCCCUUCCCAUAAACGUCUCCCCCCUAAUCCGAAAUCAAAUUACCCAGCACGCCAAAUUAUGCCCACCCGGUCGGGGACCAUUAUUCUGAUGCUGUCUUUGUUUAAUGCAGGGAGGCCCUAGACACACUAAUCCUUGAGGGAUGGGGAACAGGGCUCCAGCCUUUCACGUUGUUCUCCAGCUACCUCCCAGCUAAACACAGACUCCAUCGUUUAUUCAAUCACCAGGGAAGGCAGAGGCGGAGCAGUUACUGGAGAAGAAAAGAGGUGCUAAAUUACCGCAUCAAUGGGCUUUUGAGUGUUCCCACCUGUCCUGACUCACCCAUUUCUACAAAAUCCAGUUACCAUGCUCUUCAACAGAUAGAAGACUCAGCUGUCAAACAGCAUGGAAUACAAAUACAAUAGUAACAUUCAUACUCACAAGCCUCCCCAAAGAUUCCAUAUGCAAAUGAGAGAAGGGAGUAAGUAGUGGCAUCCUCCCGUUCAUCAUCUAACCGUGGGUCAUGAUUCAGAUCAUGCAGCAAGGGGAACGAAGACAGCACACGCCUGGCUUCCCAUCCUGUACCCUCAGUGAUGCACAGAGACGAACAUGUAUCUCUUCAAGGCCUCCCUCAAAUAAAAUAGAUUGCUUCUGUUGCA